rnacentral:rRNA from 1 species
UGCUGGGGUGGAUGAGUGGCGAACGGGUGAGUAACACGUGAGUAACCUUCCCUUGACUCUGGGAUAAGCCCGGGAAACUGGGUCUAAUACCGGAUAUGACUCCUCAUCGCAUGGUGGGGGGUGGAAAGAUUUAUCGGUCUUGGAUGGACUCGCGGCCUAUCAGCUUGUUGGUGAGGUAAUGGCUCACCAAGGCGACGACGGGUAGCCGGCCUGAGAGGGUGACCGGCCACACUGGGACUGAGACACGGCCCAGACUCCUACGGGAGGCAGCAGUGGGGAAUAUUGCACAAUGGGCGCAAGCCUGAUGCAGCGACGCCGCGUGAGGGAUGACGGCCUUCGGGUUGUAAACCUCUUUCAGUAGGGAAGAAGCCUUUGGGUGACGGUACCUGCAGAAGAAGCGCCGGCUAACUACGUGCCAGCAGCCGCGGUAAUACGUAGGGCGCGAGCGUUAUCCGGAAUUAUUGGGCGUAAAGAGCUCGUAGGCGGUUUGUCGCGUCUGCCGUGAAAGUCCGGGGCUUAACCCCGGAUCUGCGGUGGGUACGGGCAGACUAGAGUGCAGUAGGGGAGACCGGAAUUCCUGGUGUAGCGGUGAAAUGCGCAGAUAUCAGGAGGAACACCGAUGGCGAAGGCAGGUCUCUGGGCUGUUACUGACGCUGAGGAGCGAAAGCAUGGGGAGCGAACAGGAUUAGAUACCCUGGUAGUCCAUGCCGUAAACGUUGGGCACUAGGUGUGGGGGACAUUCCACGUUUUCCGCGCCGCAGCUAACGCAUUAAGUGCCCCGCCUGGGGAGUACGGCCGCAAGGCUAAAACUCAAAGGAAUUGACGGGGGCCCGCACAAGCGGCGGAGCAUGCGGAUUANUUCGAUGCAACGCGAAGAACCUUACCAAGGCUUGACAUGUUCUCGAUCGCCACAGAGAUGUGGUUUCCCCUUUGGGGCGGGUUCACAGGUGGUGCAUGGUUGUCGUCAGCUCGUGUCGUGAGAUGUUGGGUUAAGUCCCGCAACGAGCGCAACCCUCGUUCCAUGUUGCCAGCGGGUUAUGCCGGGGACUCAUGGGAGACUGCCGGGGUCAACUCGGAGGAAGGUGGGGACGACGUCAAAUCAUCAUGCCCCUUAUGUCUUGGGCUUCACGCAUGCUACAAUGGCCGGUACAAUGGGUCGCGAUACUGUGAGGUGGAGCUAAUCCCAAAAAGCCGGUCUCAGUUCGGAUUGGGGUCUGCAACUCGACCCCAUGAAGUCGGAGUCGCUAGUAAUCGCAGAUCAGCAACGCUGCGGUGAAUACGUUCCCGGGCCUUGUACACACCGCCCGUCAAGUCACGAAAGUCGGUAACACCCGAAGCCG